CCUAAAGAGCAUAAUGGAGAAGGACUCCAGAGGACGUGGAGGAGAGUGCUGCUCCCCAGGGAGAAGGGCAUCGAUCAAGAGCCACUUCCUGCUCUCUGGACCGCGAGGGUGCAGCAAGGAGACAGAAUAAGCAAAAGCACGCCGCAGCUUCACCCCCGCAGCCCCGAGCGCGGAAGGGCCACCUGUUCAAACACAGCCGCACUGGGAGGCAGAGGAGCCAUGUUUGAAUUUUAGGGGCCACACAGCUUGCGGUGUUUAUAAUUUUCUGCAAGGUCCUUCCUGGCGGUGAUGUGCUGGAGUGGAGUUGUGUCUCCGCCUUGCCCUCGAGUCUCGCAUUAGGCCUCCUUCACUUCGGACGGAGACCGGGGCCCUGAGACAUCUGAUUUCGUGACCCUGCUGUCCGUGACCAGCACCAUUAUUACGGUUGGCCCUUUGUCAACUUGUCUCCUGUGGGCCUUUUUACCAGUCUUUUCAAUGACAAUAUUUUCCUAUAUAUUAAAAAACAGCAUAUUAAAAC
rnacentral:lncRNA from 1 species